rnacentral:rRNA from 1 species
ACCAGUACCGUGAGGGAAAGGUGAAAAGCACCCCGGGAGGGGAGUGAAACAGUACCUGAAACCGUGCGCCCACGAGCAGUCGGAGCACCUUUUAAGGUGUGACGGCGUGCCUUUUGUAGAAUGAGCCAGCGAGUCGCUGGCGCGGGGCGAGGUUAACCGAAAGGGAGCCGGAGCGAAAGCGAGCCUUAACAGGGCGACUUGAGUCCCGCGCCGCGGACGCGAAGCCGGGUGAGCUAUCCGUGGGCAGGCUGAAGCGGGGGUAAGACCCCGUGGAGGGCCGAACGCACGUCGGUUGAAAACGGCGGCGAUGACCUGCGGAUAGGGGUGAAAGGCCAAUCAAACCCGGAGAUAUCUCGUUCUCCCCGAAAUAGCUUUAGGGCUAGCGUCGCGCGUUCACCGCCGGAGGUAGAGCACCGGAUGGACGAGGGGGCUUCGCCGCCUACCGAAUCCAACCGAACUCCGAAUGCCGGCGGCCCAGAGCGCGGCAGUCAGAGCAUGUGGGCUAAGCUGUGUGCUCGAGAGGGAAACAGCCCGGACCGCCCGCUAAGGUCCCCAAGUUCCAGCCGAGUGGCAAAGGAUGUGCGUCCGCCCAGACAACCAGGAUGUUGGCUUAGAAGCAGCCAUCCAUUCAAAGAGUGCGUAACAGCUCACUGGUCGAGUGGACAUGCGCCGACAAUACACGGGGCUAAGCUGGACACCGAAGCGGCGGGAUUUUAAUUCAUUAGAAUCGGUAGGGGAGCUUCCCAUGGGCGGAGAAGCCGGAGGGCGACCGACGGUGGAGCGCAUGGGAGUGAGAAUGCUGGCAUGAGUAGCGAGAGACGAGAGAGUAACUCGUCCGCCGUGAACCCGAGGUUUCCUGGGCAAGGCUAAUCCUCCCAGGGUCAGUCGGGGGCUAAGGCGAGGCCGGGAGGCGUAGCCGACGCGCAGCAGGCAGACAUUCCUGCACCGCGCACGCGGCGCUACGACCGACGGGGCGACGGAUGGGGGUGGCUCGGCGGGGUUCUGGACGUCCCCGUGAUGGAGCGCGGCCCGCGGACCAGGGAAAUCCGGUCCGCACGAGGGCGAGGCUCCGGACGAAGCACUUAAGCGAAGCGAGUGAGCCCGAGGUCCCUAGAAAAACCCCUAGGCAGGCGCGUGCGCGCCCGUACCGCAAACCGACACAGGUGGGUGGGUAGAACAUACCGAGGCGAUCGGGUCAACCAUGGUCAAGGAACUCGGCACAAUGGCCCCGUAACUUCGGGAGAAGGGGUGCCCGCGCGUACGUGAACCGGCUUGCCCGGGGAGCGGAGGCGGGCCGCAGUGGAGAGGCCCAAGCGACUGUUUACCAAAAACACAGGACUCUGCAGAAGCCGCAAGGCGACGUAUAGGGUCUGACGCCUGCCCGGUGCCGGAAGGUCACGCGGAGGAGUUAGCCGUCUCGGCGAAGCCCCGAAGCCAAGCCCCGGUAAACGGCGGCCGUAACUAUAACGGUCCUAAGGUAGCGAAAUUCCUUGUCGGGUAAGUUCCGACCUGCACGAAAGGCGCAACGACUUGGGCGCUGUCUCGACCAUGGACCCGGUGAAAUUGCACUGGUCGUGAAGAUGCGACUUACCCGCGGAAGGACGGAAAGACCCCGUGAACCUUCACUGCAGCUUGGCAUUGGCCGCUGGUCCCGCGUGUAGAGGAUAGGCAGGAGGCACAGAUCCGGAGGCGCCAGCCCCCGGGGAGCCGCCCUUGGAAUACUGCCCUCGCGCGACCGGCGUCCUAACCCGAGGCCGUCAACCGGCUCGGGGACCGUGCCAGGCGGGCAGUUUGACUGGGGCGGUCGCCUCCUAAAGGGUAACGGAGGCGCGCGAAGGUCCGCUCGGGACGGUCGGCAACCGUCCUUUUGAAUGCAAGAGUACAAGCGGGCUUGACUGCGAGGCCCACAAGCCGAGCAGGUGCGAAAGCAGGCUCUAGUGAUCCGGCGGCCCCGAGUGGGUGGGCCGUCGCUCAACGGAUAAAAGGUACUCCGGGGAUAACAGGCUGAUCUUGCCCAAGAGUCCACAUCGACGGCAAGGUUUGGCACCUCGAUGUCGGCUCAUCGCAUCCUGGGGCUGGAGCAGGUCCCAAGGGUUGGGCUGUUCGCCCAUUAAAGCGGUACGCGAGCUGGGUU